GUGGGGAAUAUUGGACAAUGGGCGAAAGCCUGAUCCAGCCAUGCCGCGUGUGUGAAGAAGGUCUUCGGAUUGUAAAGCACUUUAAGUUGGGAGGAAGGGCAGUAAGUUAAUACCUUGCUGUUUUGACGUUACCGACAGAAUAAGCACCGGCUAACUUCGUGCCAGCAGCCGCGGUAAUACGAAGGGUGCAAGCGUUAAUCGGAAUUACUGGGCGUAAAGCGCGCGUAGGUGGUUUUGUAAGUUGGAGUUGAAAUCCCCGGGCUCAACCUGGGAACUGCCUCCAAAACUGCAUGACUAGAGUACGGUAGAGGGUAGUGGAAUUUCCUGUGUAGCGGUGAAAUGCGUAGAUAUAGGAAGGAACACCAGUGGCGAAGGCGACUACCUGGACUGAUACUGACACUGAGGUGCGAAAGCGUGGGGAGCAAACAGGAUUAGAUACCCCGGUAGUCC
rnacentral:rRNA from 1 species